rnacentral:rRNA from 1 species
UACGAAGGGGGCUAGCGUUGCUCGGAAUCACUGGGCGUAAAGCGCACGUAGGCGGACUCUUAAGUCGGUGGUGAAAUCCUGGAGCUCAACUCCAGAACUGCCUUCGAUACUGGGAGUCUUGAGUCCGGAAGAGGUGAGUGGAACUGCGAGUGUAGAGGUGAAAUUCGUAGAUAUUCGCAAGAACACCAGUGGCGAAGGCGGCUCACUGGCCCGGUACUGACGCUGAGGUGCGAAAGCGUGGGGAGCAAACAGG